GAUGAACGCUGGCGGCGUGCCUAAUACAUGCAAGUCGAGCGAACGGACGCGUAGCUUGCUUCUCUGAUGUUAGCGGCGGACGGGGGAGGAACACGUGGAUAACCUCCCUAUACGACUUGGUUAACUUCGGGAAACCGGAGCUGCUACUGGGUAAUAUUUUGAACCGCAUGGUUCAAGAGUGUGAGACGGUCUUGCUGUCACUUAUAGAUGGAUCCGCGCUGCAUUAGCUAGUUGGUAAGGUAACGGCUUACCAAGGCAACGAUGCAUAGCCGACCUGAGAGGGUGAUCGGCCACACUGGAAGUGAGACACGGCCCAGACGACUACGAGAGGCAGCAGUAGGGAAUCUUCCGCAAUGGGCGAAAGCCUGACGGAGCAACGCCGCGUGGGUGAUGAAGGUGUUCGGAGCGUAAAACUCUGUUUUCAGGGAAGAACAAAGGUUGAAGUGUCUGUGCACAUCUUGACGGUACCUGAUCAAGAAGCGACGGCUAACUACGUG
rnacentral:rRNA from 1 species